rnacentral:rRNA from 1 species
GCUUGUCUCAAAGAUUAAGCCAUGCACGUGUAAGUAUAAAAUAACCUAUACUAUUGAAACUGCGAAUGGCUCAUUAUAUCAGUUAUAGUUUACAUGAUAAUAAUUUUCUACUUGGAUACCCGUAGUAAUUCUAGAGCUAAUACAUGCAUCAAGCCCUGACUUCGGAAGGGGUGUAUUUAUUAGAUGGAAACCAAUGCGGGGCAACCCGGAAUAUGGUGAUUCAUAAUAACUUUCGGAUCGUUUACGAUGCAUCAUUCAAGUUUCUGCCCUAUCAGCUUUGGAUGGUAGGGUAUUGGCCUACCAUGGCUUUAACGGGUAACGGAGAAUUAGGGUUCGAUUCCGGAGAGGGAGCCUGAGAAAUGGCUACCACAUCCAAGGAAGGCAGCAGG